rnacentral:rRNA from 1 species
UACGUAGGGUGCGAGCGUUGUCCGGAAUUAUUGGGCGUAAAGAGCUCGUAGGCGGUCUGUCGCGUCGAUCGUGAAAACUUGGGGCUUAACCCUGAGCUUGCGGUCGAUACGGGCAUGACUGGAGUUCGGCAGGGGAGACUGGAAUUCCUGGUGUAGCGGUGAAAUGCGCAGAUAUCAGGAGGAACACCGGUGGCGAAGGCGGGUCUCUGGGCCGAUACUGACGCUGAGGAGCGAAAGCUAGGGGAGCAAACAGG